rnacentral:rRNA from 1 species
AGCGAACGCUGGCGGCAGGCCUAACACAUGCAAGUCGAGCGCCCAGCAAUGGGAGCGGCAGACGGGAUAGUAACACGUGGGAACGUACCUUUCAGUUCGGAACAACCAAGGGAAACUUUGGCUAAUACCGAAUACGCCCGUAAGGGGAAAGAUUUAUCGCUGAAAGAUCGGCCCGCGUCUGAUUAGCUAGUUGGUGAGGUAAUGGCUCACCAAGGCGACGAUCAGUAGCUGGUCUGAGAGGAUGAUCAGCAUCACUGGGACUGAGACACGGCCCAGACUCCUACGGGAGGCAGCAGUGGGGAAUAUUGGACAAUGGGCGCAAGCCUGAUCCAGCCAUGCCGCGUGAGUGAUGAAGGCCUUAGGGUUGUAAAGCUCUUUCGUCAGGGAAGAUAAUGACGGUACCUGAAGAAGAAGCCCCGGCUAACUUCGCGCCAGCCGCCGCCGUAAUAC